GACGAACGCUGGCGGCGUGCUUAACACAUGCAAGUCGAACGGAAAGGCCCUGCUUUUGUGGGGUGCUCGAGUAGCGAACGGGUGAGUAACACGUGAGUAACCUGCCCUUGACUUUGGGAUAACUUCGGGAAACUGGGGCUAAUACCGGAUAGGAGCUCCUGCUGCAUGGUGGGGGUUGGAAAGUUUCGGCGGUUGGGGAUGGACUCGCGGCUUAUCAGCUUGUUGGUGGGGUAGUGGCUUACCAAGGCUUUGACGGGUAGCCGGCCUGAGAGGGUGACCGGCCACAUUGGGACUGAGAUACGGCCCAGACUCCUACGGGAGGCAGCAGUGGGGAAUAUUGCACAAUGGGCGGAAGCCUGAUGCAGCAACGCCGCGUGCGGGAUGACGGCCUUCGGGUUGUAAACCGCUUUCGCCUGUGACGAAGCGUGAGUGACGGUAAUGGGUAAAGAAGCACCGGCUAACUACGUGCCAGCAGCCGCGGUGAUACGUAGGGUGCGAGCGUUGUCCGGAUUUAUUGGGCGUAAAGGGCUCGUAGGUGGUUGAUCGCGUCGGAAGUGUAAUCUUGGGGCUUAACCCUGAGCGUGCUUUCGAUACGGGUUGACUUGAGGAAGGUAGGGGAGAAUGGAAUUCCUGGUGGAGCGGUGGAAUGCGCAGAUAUCAGGAGGAACACCAGUGGCGAAGGCGGUUCUCUGGGCCUUUCCUGACGCUGAGGAGCGAAAGCGUGGGGAGCGAACAGGCUUAGAUACCCUGGUAGUCCACGCUGUAAACGGUGGGUACUAGGUGUGGGGUCCAUUCCACGGGUUCCGUGCCGUAGCUAACGCUUUAAGUACCCCGCCUGGGGAGUACGGCCGCAAGGCUAAAACUCAAAGGAAUUGACGGGGCCCCGCACAAGCGGCGGAGCAUGCGGAUUAAUUCGAUGCAACGCGUAGAACCUUACCUGGGUUUGACAUGGAUCGGGAGUGCUCAGAGAUGGGUGUGCCUCUUUUGGGGUCGGUUCACAGGUGGUGCAUGGCUGUCGUCAGCUCGUGUCGUGAGAUGUUGGGUUAAGUCCCGCAACGAGCGCAACCCUUGUUCACUGUUGCCAGCACGUUAUGGUGGGGACUCAGUGGAGACCGCCGGGGUCAACUCGGAGGAAGGUGGGGAUGACGUCAAGUCAUCAUGCCCCUUAUGUCCAGGGCUUCACGCAUGCUACAAUGGCUGGUACAGAGAGUGGCGAGCCUGUGAGGGUGAGCGAAUCUCGGAAAGCCGGUCUCAGUUCGGAUUGGGGUCUGCAACUCGACCUCAUGAAGUCGGAGUCGCUAGUAAUCGCAGAUCAGCAACGCUGCGGUGAAUACGUUCCCGGGGCU
rnacentral:rRNA from 1 species